ACCAUCUCCCGCUCAGCCGUGAUCUGGACACUCUCUCUCAGCGCCUCCUCCAGCUCCUCGAUGCGCUCAGCCUUCUGCCGCAGAGAGUCCUGACAAGUGAGGAGAAGAUGACAUUUACUAGAGACAAGUGCUCAUACAGGACCACAGAGUUAGAGAUCUCCAACAAACGGUCAACCUCCGCUUGGGCCUUCCCAGAAUCCUCUCUGUGUCUAGCCACAUCUGUCUCCAGAGCGGCGAUCUUCUCAGAUAGCUCUGAGUUCGCUUGUGCAUCAGCAGCUGCAUGUUUGGCCUGUGCGGGUCAUCCACACACAAGCUGGUUCUCCAGCUUGCUGCACUCCUCUCUACGCUGCUCCAGGGCAAUCUCGAGGCUCUUCAGCUUGGAGUCCUUCUUCAGACCGGACGAGG